rnacentral:lncRNA from 10 species
AAACAACAGAAAUUUAUUCUGUCACAAUUCAGGGCACUGGAAGUCUGACAUCAAGGUGUCUUAAGGCUCGAAGUGUAACUGCCUGAGGAGUUCUUCCUGCCUGCUGCACAAACAAAGACCAUAGCAUUGCAGUAAAGAAAGAGUUUAAUUGAUGUGAGGCUGGCCACUCCACACUGGAGAUGGAGUUAUUACUCAAAUCAAUCUCAUUGAAGGCUGGUAGGUUAGGGGUUUUUCAAAGGUAGUUUGGGGGAAGGGGUGGGGAUGGCUAGGCAUUGGGUGCUUGCUGGUGAUUGCUUGGGGGUGCAAUCGUAGGGGUGUGGGCAAUAAUCCUGAGUGCUGAAUCACUUCUGGGUGAGGCCAACAGGAGUGGUUGGUGGGUCCAGGUGGAGCCGUCGGUGUCAGACCUUGUGACCUCCAGAAUAAUGGCUGGCAGUUGUUUAUGUCUAUUCCUUAGCAGAAUUCAGGCUUCUCUAUCCUCCUAGCCUGGUGAUCUCUCAUUACCUUUACAAAGAUAAUUGACUUUCAGGGAAGAAGUAUUAUCAUUUAAACUAUAAACUAAAUGUCUGGCAGCUUGAAGGCUAAAGGCGAGAGAGGGGGUUGGCAAGAUCAGAUCUCCCCCCUCCCCCGACCAGAAUUUUCUGACUGUUAUAUUGUUUCACAGGUUUCAUAAGGAAGUGAAGAAAAUAAAAAUAUUUCACCCCAAAAUAUUUGACAUAUUUUGAGAGGGCUGUACAGAAGUCCUGCAUAAGGAAGUGACCCUGCAAAG